rnacentral:rRNA from 1 species
GACGAACCGUGCGAACGUUGUUCGGAAUCACUGGGCUUAAAGGGCGCGUAGGCGGGCCUUCAAGUCCGGGGUGAAAUCCUCCCGCCCAACGGGAGAAGCGCCUCGGAGACUGAAGGCCUCGAGGAGGGUAGGGGCGUGCGGAACACUGGGUGGAGCGGUGAAAUGCAUUGAUAUCCAGUGGAACUCCGGUGGCGAAGGCGGCACGCUGGACCCUUUCUGACGCUGAGGCGCGAAAGCCAGGGGAGCAAACGGG